GACGAACGCUGGCGGCGUGCUUAACACAUGCAAGUCGAACGGAAAGGCCCUGCUUUUGUGGGGUGCUCGAGUGGCGAACGGGUGAGUAACACGUGAGUAACCUGCCCUUGACUUUGGGAUAACUUCAGGAAACUGGGGCUAAUACCGGAUAGGAGCUCCUGCUGCAUGGUGGGUGUUGGAAAGUUUCGGCGGUUGGGGAUGGACUCGCGGCUUAGCAGCUUGUUGGUGGGGUAGUGGCUUACCAAGGCUUUGACGGGUAGCCGGACUGAGAGGGUGACCGGCCACAUUGGGACUGAGAUACGGCCCAGACUGCUACGGGAGGCAGCAGUGGGGAAUAUUGCACGAUGGGCGGAAGCCUGAUGCAGCAACGCCGGGUGCGGGAUGACUGCCUUCGGGUUGUAAACCGCGUGCGCCUGUGACGAAGCGUGAGUGACGGUAAUGGGUAAAGAAGCACCGGCUAACUACGUG
rnacentral:rRNA from 1 species